UCCCUCUUAGCUCAGUUGGUAGAGCGCGUCACUAGUAUGGAAAGACUUGAACCAUUUAUGACGAGGUCAGUCGUUCAAAUCGGCUAGCGGGAA